GACGGGGCCCGCACAAGCGGUGGAGCAUGUGGUCUUAAUUCGAAGCAACGCGAAGUAACCUUACCAGGUCUUGACAUCCCGAUGCUAUUUCUAGAGAUAGAAAGUUACUUCGGUACAUCGGUGACAGGUGGUGCAUGGUUGUCGUCAGCUCGUGUCGUGAGAUGUUGGGUUAAGUCCCGCAACGAGCGCAACCCCUAUUGUUAGUUGCCAUCAUUCAGUUGGGCACUCUAGCGAGACUGCCGGUAAUAAACCGGAGGAAGUGGGAUGACGUCAAAUCAUCAUGCCCCUUAUGACCUGGGCUACACACGUGCUACAAUGGUUGGUACAACGAGUUGCGAGUCGGUGACGGCGAGCUAAUCUCUUAAAGCCAAUCUCAGUUCGGAUUGUAGGCUGCAACUCGCCUACAUGAAGUCGGAAUCGCUAGUAAUCGCGGAUCAGCACGCCGCGGUGAAUACGUUCCCGGGCCUU
rnacentral:rRNA from 1 species